AUAUCUGAGCUCAGGCCCUGGGGAACGGUUAUUAAAACCCACCCAACACAAAGUAAGCUGCGAAACCCUUUUAAAUGGGCAAAGAAAGUCCAUAUUUUACAUCGCUUUGGUAUUUUUCUCUGCUUAGGUGUGGAUUCAUAUGGAGGCUGAUCUUUAUAGCUCGAUUAAUUUACCUUAACAGUCUAAUUUUUUAAAAAAUUAUCCUAGUACAUCCAGACCUCUAAAAAGUCUUACUUAUUUUAUUUUGGAAGAAAACCUCCAUGCAUUUACUUUUUAAAAAACAGCCUUGAAAUAAAUGCAAACAAAAAAAAACCCCCAAACCCAACUCACAGAACUGGAAGUUGGGAUAUUGUGGCACCAAAAAUAAAACUGAUGGAACAAACAGGGAAUUUCAUGUGGUUUUCAUUGUCAAGUCUAAGCUCAGAAACAAACAGGAAAUAAAAAUGGCUAAAACAAAAGAGAUUUCUUUUAAACUGUGUUCAAAUCUAAGUGGGGAGCUGCUUUAUGUGGGAGGGAUUCUAUGUUUAUUUGCUUUUCAAAAAAAGGAGUAAAUAAAAAUGUCCACAUGCAGACAGGUCAACUUGAUUUACCGUUAAAUCCUCAUGUUUCACAAUGGUCAUUUAUAAUCAGCUUUUUAAAAAGAAAAUUAGACUCAUAAAAAUGGCAGCAUUGCAAAGGAGAGAAAAGGCAAUGGGUGGUGGGAAGGCUGCUUCUGUUUUAAAUAAGGUUGAGAGGAAGUAAGAAUGGAAAGAGGGAGAGAGGUGGAAGUAACUGCGAACCUCAUUUGUUUCAUUCCAUCUUUGCACUUUUUCAGUUUUUGCAGAGCUUGGCAGGUGCUGAGCAUUCCAGCCUGUACCACACCACUGAAGCUCCCCAUGUAGCAAUUUAAUGUAGGGAUAUUUCCCUUCAUUCUAAAGCAUCCAGAGAUCUACGUGUAGAAAAGCUAGGAGUCUCCUGAGGAAAGAGAUCAUGAGGUUCAACUCUUCAGAAAUGAGUGUUCCAAAGAUGAACCUACACCCUGCAAAUCAGUGACAAGUGCCUUGGACAGGAAUAUAGGUGGGCUUACAUGAGCAGAAUCUGGGCUGCAGGUCAGGCAAAUCCAGGAAAUACAAUAACAGUAAGAAAACCACCGCCCUUGCCCAGACCCCUCUCCAGGCUGGCACGGAAAGACAUCUCUCUCAGACAUUUGUGAAAACUGAAAGCAGCUACCAUGAUUGGACAUUCCCUCCAGAGACAGAAGGCAGGCUUUUGUCCCUCACGGCGAGCACAAACACCCAUUCACUUCAGCUCAUCAGCAGGUUGAGGGGCAUGGAUGUGGUGCUGGGAGCCAGGGAGACACUGAUCCUGUCACUGAAAACAUGGUCCCGUCCCUGUCUUUGGAAGAUGGGACAGGAACAUAGGUGAGACUCCGAAAGACACCUUCCUGAGCAGUUGCUUCUAGCAUCUCCCGAAAUUGCAGAUGGGAGAGAGCCAUUUCAUCCCUAGCAUCCUGUCUUCCAGGCCACGGGCUAUGUGUGGAAGACCCACAAGUUUGUCUGGGGGACGCCAAAUUCCUCUC